UCUGAGACACGAAUCCAGGCCCUACGGGGUGCAGCAGGCGCGAAAACUUUACAAUGCCGGCAACGGCGAUAAGGGGACCUCGAGUGCCAGGUUACAAAUCUGGCUGUCGUGAUGCCUAAAAAGCAUUGCAUAGCAAGGGCCGGGCAAGACCGGUGCCAGCCGCCGCGGUAACACCGGCGGCUCGAGUGGUAACCGUUAUUAUUGGGUCUAAAGGGUCUGUAGCCGGCCGGAUAAGUCUCUUGAGAAAUCCAGCAGCUCAACUGUUGGGCUUUCAGGAGAUACUGUCUGGCUCGAGGCCGGGAGAGGUGAGAGGUACUUCAGGGGUAGGGGUGAAAUCUUGUAAUCCUUGAAGGACCACCAGUGGCGAAGGCGUCUCACCAGAACGGACCUGACGGCAAGGGACGAAAGCUAGGGGCACGAACCGGAUUAGAUACCCGGGUAGUCCUAGCCGUAAACGAUACUCGCUAGGUGUCGGCCACGGUGCGACCGUUGUCGGUGCCGUAGGGAAGCCGUGAAGCGAGC
rnacentral:rRNA from 1 species